GGCUACAUCAGUUCCGACACAGAACUGUCCAAAGUUCGAUGAACGCUGCCCACACAGCUGCAUCACUAUCGAUACACGCGGUUGUCUAGGCUGCACGUGCAAAGCAACAACUCAAGCCCCACUUACACAACAUGGAACUUCAACGAGUGCUCCAUUGGCAACACAACCUUCUACAACCCAACCAUCUAUCACACAAGCACCUCCAACUCUACCACGUAAGACCCAGGCACCUACGAUUCCGCCAUCAACCGCAGUUUCAACGACCAGUCAAACCUCCAAGGGCUCAACAGUCAGCCCUGGUGUUUGCCCGCCGAUACGUUGUGUAUAUCCCUGUGACGCAGGAGUUACCCUUGGUGCCGACAACUGCCCCGUGUGCACCUGUAGAGCGGAUAUGAUGACAUCAAAACCAAC
rnacentral:lncRNA from 1 species